GAGCGGCGGACGGGUGAGUAAUGUCUGGGAAACUGCCUGAUGGAGGGGGAUAACUACUGGAAACGGUAGCUAAUACCGCAUAACGUCGCAAGACCAAAGAGGGGGACCUUCGGGCCUCUUGCCAUCAGAUGUGCCCAGAUGGGAUUAGCUAGUAGGUGGGGUAACGGCUCACCUAGGCGACGAUCCCUAGCUGGUCUGAGAGGAUGACCAGCCACACUGGAACUGAGACACGGUCCAGACUCCUACGGGAGGCAGCAGUGGGGAAUAUUGCACAAUGGGCGCAAGCCUGAUGCAGCCAUGCCGCGUGUAUGAAGAAGGCCUUCGGGUUGUAAAGUACUUUCAGCGGGGAGGAAGGCGCUGAGGCUAAUAACCUCAGCGAUUGACGUUACCCGCAGAAGAAGCACCGGCUAACUCCGUGCCAGCAGCCGCGGUAAUACGGAGGGUGCAAGCGUUAAUCGGAAUUACUGGGCGUAAAGCGCACGCAGGCGGUCUGUCAAGUCGGAUGUGAAAUCCCCGGGCUCAACCUGGGAACUGCAUUCGAAACUGGCAGGCUAGAGUCUUGUAGAGGGGGGUAGAAUUCCAGGUGUAGCGGUGAAAUGCGUA
rnacentral:rRNA from 1 species